UACGUAGGGUGCGAGCGUUUGUCCGGAAUUAUUGGGCGUAAAGAGCUCGUAGGCGGUCUGUCGCGUCGAUCGUGAAAACUUGGGGCUUAACCCUGAGCUUGCGGUCGAUACGGGCAUGACUGGAGUUCGGCAGGGGAGACUGGAAUUCCUGGUGUAGCGGUGAAAUGCGCAGAUAUCAGGAGGAACACCGGUGGCGAAGGCGGGUCUCUGGGCCGAUACUGACGCUGAGGAGCGAAAGCGUGGGGAGCGAACAGG
rnacentral:rRNA from 1 species